CAGGAUGUGCAAGCACGGAGCCAAUGGUAGCAGGUUAUCGUAACCCAAAAAAAAUCCUGAGCAAAAUCAAGAAGUCUAGAAAUCUUGUUUCUCCUUAUCUAGAAAGUUAGUGAGUCAUGUCUAGCAUUAAUGAAGUAACACCAGAGGAACUUCCCCAUUCAAUGGCGACAGCAGCCAAUGAGUUUGUUGCCUCUAACCCAUCUGUAUUCCACCAAGAAGAGCCUGAUUUAAUUGAUGUGGAGGAGCAGCCGGAGGAGGCUCCAAGUGAACCUGUCCCACAUGUUCUCAAUCCAUUUUCUUGUAAUUUUGAGGAGCUCAUUGCUCUCCAUCAAGAAGCACCAACUGACACAACCCCGAUGAGCAAACCAAGUUUCAACAAUCUUCAACAAGAAACAUCAACAGGCCAAGCUCCAGAUAACAAUGCACUAUUCAAACGUCGAUCCCAUAAGCCAAUCUCUAAAAAUAAACAAAGAAUUCAGCAGCUAAUGUUGAACGCUGCUGCAGCAAAAUUUCAGCUAGAUUCACUUGAAAAGGAGGGUCCAUCAUUUCAUCAUCAAACAUUCUUAAGGAGGGAAGCUGCCAAUGAAUCCAGGGAACUUACAUUUGCAAAUCUCUUGAAGACUGAGUUGAUAUAUUUGCACAACCCAAAUAUUUUCAAUUGUAAAAAAUUGUUGAAUAGUGUGGUUCAGUUAGAGCCGCUGACUUUUGAUGCAAUGGUGAAAAAUCGUGCUAGUGCGGAUUCUCUUAAAUAUUUCUUGGUAUGGAAUAAACAAUCAAGAAUGUCGAAGCUAGGCACUCAUAAACAUAACAAACCAAUCACACAGGUGACCGUCCCUGUAGAAACACAAAAUACCGUAGCUAAGGACAUGAAAAACCAUAUUCAAGCAAAAUUAAGUCUACUUGUCAAAGGACAGCCGUCUAUUGGUGCAUAUUUAGCAUCUUACAUCAAAAGUAAAGAAUUAAAAGAAGAAGGUAGAAGUGUUACCCCUGAAGAGAGAACUCAGGUCUCGGGAAAUCUGAAUAGUGUCUCAAAAGAGUUGAAGGUACUCUUGAAAGAUCUCAAGUUUGAAAAAGUAGUAAAGGUCGGCAACCGAAUCAUUCCUACAUCUGAAAUACUUGCGCAGCUACAUACAAAGGAGCAAAACAUUCAGAACCCACCUCUCAGCUCUUUUCAGAUUCGAAUGACAUUUCUUCAUUGA
rnacentral:lncRNA from 1 species